UGGAACUUGACUUCUACUCUUCCUAAGCACCGGCCGUGCCCAUUGUUCACCAGUCUCAUCUCCAAAUCAGAUCCAUCUAGAGAGGAGACCAAGUGAAAUGUAUUCCUCAUGCUGUCAGGAGUAAAAUACAUGAAGAAAGGAGACUUUGGUUGAUAUAUGGCGACACUGGAGAAGAUGAACAAAAUUUUAGAAGCACUUUCUUGAACAAGAAACUCCAACCAAAGACCACACCUUAGCAAGGCUUGUUUUCAUUAUAGGCAAUUAGUCAUAAUACUUGAUAAUUAUAAAAGGUCACAGUCAAUGUACAUAGAAGUGCAUCACAUGCUGUAUUAUUCAAUCCUUACAAGUUUCAACAGUAUAUGCUAGCUUUGUUGUCCACUUCACAGAUCAACAGCCCAAAGCUCAAUCACUGGACAUAGCAUUGAGAACCUAGAAAGAUGGCCAAGCCAAGACAUGAGUGGUGGAGCGGUGUGGGAUGUGGCCCAGCAUCAGUUUUCUGUUGAUUUGUGUGCCAAGAGGUGGAUUCUGAAGACUAAGAAGAAGUUAGGGUGAAGGAUCUCACAAAUACAGACAGCAGAUCCCUAUAAAACUAGCAAUUCCUCGAGUAGCUAUCGGCUCUUUUUCUCUUAUCAGGUUCUAGUUGGACCUUCAAGUUUAUAAGCUUCAAAAAGUACAUUUAACUUCAUUCUUCAUUAUGUAAGAAAAUAAGAGCACAGGGUACCACACUUCAGCUGUAAUUGAAUAUCAGCCAUAUUUACAGGAAAGGACUGGAAAGAUUUCUUAUAGUUUUGAAAUUUGUUAUAAAUGCUUCAUUUGACCCCUCAUCAUAAAGAUUAAUGAUAAAAUAAACAAGGAGAAAGAGACAAAGAUGGUUUAGUCCACAUGAUAAUAAAAGAUGGGUUCUAUGAAGAAAUUCGUAUUUUCAGCAUUAUUACACACCAGACAGUGUGUAGAGAGCUUGGCAUGUGUCUUAUUAUUGAGUUACCAGAAGCUUAGAAAGAUGAAAUGAUUUACGUGAAGUUUUAGCAUCAGUGAAUUACUGCGCCAGAAUUCAAUGGAACAUUGAAUCCAAGAGACACUGUGAGCUGAAGUAGAAAUAGGUGCAUGAAUUUUGCUUUGAUGUAGGUAAGCCUUACCUGAGCAGGUCACUCCAGCAUCUUGUUCAUGGGUACAGUUAUGCUUUCCCCACCCCUCAUGUUUGCAGUCCCAAAGAGCUGA